rnacentral:ncRNA from 2 species
GAACCUCUCGUGCAUACUGCUGGACGAAGCACUCAGCAAGCCAGUCGCAGGGGGAAGCCGGUCGAAAUCCGGCACUGACCCGCAACGGUAGGCCGUCUCACUCGUGGAGACGGCGAGUCCGAUUACCCAGCGGCUGUGUGUGCGACAC